CCUUUCUUUUAUAUAUCCACCGAAAACCUAGGGUUUUUCAUUUUGAGCUUUUGACUAUUUCCUUUUACAUCGCCGCUUGAAGCUGUUGCUAGCCUGAAUUUUCGUUUCUUCUUGCUUUGUGUCAUCUACACUUAUUAUGAUGUUGAUACCUCCAUUCCUUCUAAGCUCACAGAAAGUUGCACUCCAGUGAUACAAUAGGUUCCUAGGUGGAAUCGGUAGAGGUGCCAAGUUUGGUGAGCUUGUAUUGAUGCUUUGUGCAAGUUUCCUGCCUUAUCCUUCUUACAUUCUCCUUCUUUCUCAGUAUCUUGACUUCAUCCUUGUUUCUUCAGUUGAAGCAGUUGCGGAGACACCAGAAUGCUCUUGACCUUUCUUGCAAAUAGGGGUGGACAUUCGAUCGGUUUGACUUGAUUUGGAAAGUUCGAUUCGAUUUUUCGGUGUUCGAUCUAGUAAAAAUAAAAAUUGAAAUCGAAUUGAGAUUAAUUCGGUUCGA